rnacentral:rRNA from 1 species
UACGUAGGGGGCAAGCGUUGUCCGGAAUCAUUGGGCGUAAAGAGCGUGUAGGCGGCCCGGUAAGUCCGCUGUGAAAGUCCAGGGCUCAACCCUGGGAUGCCGGUGGAUACUGUCGGGCUCGAGUCCGGAAGAGGAGUGUGGAAUUCCUGGUGUAGCGGUGGAAUGCGCAGAUAUCAGGAGGAACACCGAUGGCGAAGGCAGCUCGCUGGGACGGUACUGACGCUGAGGCGCGAAAGCGUGGGGAGCAAACAGG